GACGAACGCUGGCGGCGUGCUUAACACAUGCAAGUCGAACGGAAAGGCCCUGCUUUUGUGGGGUUCUCGAGUGGCGAACGGGUGAGUAACACGUGAGUAACCUGCCCUUGACUUUGGGAUAACUUCAGGAAACUGGGGCUAAUACCGGAUAGGAUCUCCUGCUGCAUGUGGGGGGUUGGAAAGUUUCGGCGGUUGUGGAUGGACUCGCGGCUUAUCAGCUUGUUGGUGGGGUAGUGACUUACCAAGGCUUUGACGGGUAGCCGGCCUGAGAGGGUGACCGGCCACAUUGGGACUGCGAUACGGACCAGAAUCCUACGGGAGGCAGCAGGGGGGAAUAUUGCACAAUGGGGGGAAGCCUGAUGCAGAAACGCCGCGUGCGGGAUGACGGCCUUCGGGUUGUAAACCGCUUUCGCCUGUGACGAAGCGUGAGUGACGGUAAUGGGUAAAGAAGCACCGGCUAACUACGUG
rnacentral:rRNA from 1 species